rnacentral:sRNA from 1 species
UUACUGAAACCGCACACAUAUCGACACGUUGUCCUGGGUGCCCUUCGGGGUUGGAUAGCGGGAUAUGUGGAGGCUCAAC